GAUGAAGAACGUAGCAAAAUGCGAUAAGUAAUGUGAAUUGCAGAAUUCAGUGAAUCAUCGAAUCUUUGAACGCACAUUGCGCCCUUUGGUAUUCCGAAGGGCAUGCCUGUUCGAGCGUCAUUAUCACCCCUCAAGCCCUCGGCUUGGUGUUGGACGGUUUGGUGGAGGCCCCCUCGGGGGCUCCUGCCCCUCCCAAAGACAAUGACGGCGGCCUCGUUGGACCCCCGGUACACUGAGUUCUUCACGGGACACGUAUCGGACACAUGGGUUUACGGGACACGGUCUGCCUCCCCUCAGGGAGAAUCUUUCUAAGGUUGACCUCGGAUCAGGUAGGGAUACCCGCUGAACUUAAGCAUAUCAAUAAGCGGAGGA
rnacentral:misc_RNA from 1 species